rnacentral:rRNA from 1 species
AUUGAACGCUGGCGGCAGGCCUAACACAUGCAAGUCGAACGGUAACAGGAAGAAGCUUGCUUCUUUGCUGACGAGUGGCGGACGGGUGAGUAAUGUCUGGGAAACUGCCUGAUGGAGGGGGAUAACUACUGGAAACGGUAGCUAAUACCGCCUAACGUCGCAAGACCAAAGAGGGGGACCUUCGGGCCUCUCGCCAUCGGCUGUGCCCAGAUGGGAUUAGCUAGUAGGUGGGGUAACGGCUCACCUAGGCGACGAUCCCUAGCUGGUCUGAGAGGAUGACCAGCCACACUGGAACUGAGACACGGUCCAGACUCCUACGGGAGGCAGCAGUGGGGAAUAUUGCACAAUGGGCGCAAGCCUGAUGCAGCCAUGCCGCGUGUAUGAAGAAGGCCUUCGGGUUGUAAAGUACUUUCAGCGGGGAGGAAGGGAAUAAAGUUAAUACCUUUGCGCAUUGACGUUACCCGCAGAAGAAGCACCGGCUAACUCCGUG